CAAGGAAAAAAAAAGAAAAAGAGAGUAGGAGAACCAUUAAAGGUACCCUCCAUCUCUUGUACAAAUACAAAGGAAAAUUAGACAAAAGCAAAUCCAAUUGGAGCAGUGGAUAUUGCUUUGUAAGCACCUGAUGGAAAGUGAGUAGAACCAAAACCUAGCCUUCCCAAAUCAACAUAGGCUAUGUUUGGGGGGGCUUUUUUGCUCCCCUGCUUAUAAGCACAAGAGCAACAAGUGUUUGGUAAGUGAGCUUAUCCUCAGCUUUUGGAAAAAGCUGCCCCAGCUUCUAUCUAAAAGCAGAAGCUGACUCCCCCCAGCUUUUAGAAGCCAGAAGCUCGCCGAGCACUGUAGCGGUAGUUACUGUUCAUGAAUUUUUUUAAAUCCCGGUUUCUACCCUCCGUUGGCUGAAGCAAUUACAGUCAUCUGCCAUCAAGCCCUCGAUAUCAGUCUCUCGCUCUCCCUCUAAUCACAGAAUGCAUCCAUGCUCGAUCUCCCUCUCACAGGACCCAUCCAGUCGCCGCCACAUCUCGCGCAUCCCAUCUCGAUCUCCCUCUAAUCACAGAACCCAUCAGUCGCCGCAUCUCGAUCUCGGCCUCACUUGCAUCUCAUCAGGAUUUCAGAAGUGAAAUUGAAGCCUCAAUCAAGCAAGCCUCAAUCAAGCAAUGAAGACAUUUUGUAUACGGAGACAUGCACAUGGUGAUAGACAUUUUGUCCGCAGUGAAGAAAGAGAAGGUUAUGGGUCAAGUGGUGGGAUAGAAAUGGAUGAUGAUGUAGAAGAAUAUCAUGGUCACGGUGCACAAGAAAUGGAAACAAUAAGAAAUAGCAUUACUCAAAGUUUGAUGAAUGCGCGUAAUAACGUGAACAUUUGAUGCGAACCAGAAACCAAUUGUUAUUAAUGUUACUAAUAUAUUUGUAUAA